AAAGAAUCAUGUCAUACUGUGUGUCCUACCCUACUGUACCACCACAAAGAAUCAUGUCCUACUGUGUGUCCUACCAUACAUGUCCUCCAUCACUUCCAUUAUAUGAGAAACUCAUGUUAUUAUUACUAUUAUUAUUAAAAACUGUAUCAUGCCAAGCUCAUUAGCUUUUCAUCCACAUUCCCUGUCAUCUCAAAUUUCUAUUGAGUCCUCUGAGAUAUUACAGGUAACGCUGCUUUGAUUGCAUUAUAAAAUUCAUUUAUUCGUUCUUUGAGGUGACUCAGUUGUCUUCCCCUGUUUCGUGAACAAUUUCUUGUGCAUGCCCUAUGAGUCCUUAUACUGAAAAACAUUUUGAAUUCAUUCCCUUUCUUUGAGAAUUAUUACAAGCAUAUAGUGAGACAUUUAAGGAGGAAUAAAUUGUUAUAAUCGCCUAGUCAAAUUGAUGUGAACUAGACAGAUUUAAAACUAAUUUACAACAUUUUAUUUGUUUACCAGAGACAUUUCAAAUCCUUGUUGCCAUUCCUCACAAAGAUAGACUACAAUAAGAUCCUAAAACUUGAGCCUGCUACAAACAAUGCAAUGCAAGAUCUCUUAGAUGAAUCGUUAAGGCAUAACGUCUGCAGAUUUUGUCGUGGAAGGCCUGUCAACUGGCGACUAGUUUGUUGUGGACAUGUUUCUUGUGACACCUGCCUGGCUUCUCGUCUGACGUGUGGGUGUGGUGCGGCCUACAAGCAAUGCAGACCACUAAACAAUAUUUGAGAAACAAUCACAGGAUGUUCCCUAAAACAAAUACACAUUUAGAUCACAGCAUGCAGAAGAUGUCCUUAGAAACAGUAUUAAAUAGAUGUGAUGAUUGUAUUUGUAUACGGUAUUGUGGUUGAUAGAAUCUUGGUUGUAAGAUUUAACGAAUUCUAGGUUUAUUUAUUAUUAUUUCGUUGGUCUGUUAGUUAAAGUAGACUGACGUCCCUUGAGAGAUUGUUAUAGUUGUCAGAGGCCAGAGUUUUGAGACCAAUAGUUGAAAUACAGUUUAAGGCAGUCUAGUAGUUUGUUGUAUAUAUAAUAGUUCAAAAUUUGAUGGCAUUGUGUACAGUUACAGUCCUUUCGACUUUAAUAAAAUAUAUAUUCUGUUCUUAAUUAA